GACGAACUUCGUUUAGAAGUUAUGGGUGAAAACUUCAUGAAGUUCGGGGUUUCCGUUUAGCAUAUUUCUUAGUAAAAAUUUAGCAUUUCCAAAAUUUUUUUUUCCAAAAUGUGUAUUUUUUAAUGCUUAAUCCAUUGGUAUAAUCCAAAUUUAUCUAUCAUACUUACUUUUAUAGUUUUUGUACAUAAACCUUAAAAAAUAGCAUUUGUGGAAUUAAUCUAAACUGUGGUCAAAAAUAGAUAUUUUUUUAUUAUUAUAAUUUGUAGUUAUUGAUAUUUUGAUAACAAAAUUGUUUUUAUUGAAAUCAGAUUUCAGUCUAUCUGGCUUAGUUUUAGUGUUACAAACGUUCAAAUAUGCAGCGAGCGACUGACCAUAUUAGGUCUCUAAAAAAAACAAUUU